AUACGGAGGGGGCAAGCGUUGUUCGGAAUUACUGGGCGUAAAGGGCGCGUAGGCGGAUUAUCAAGUCAGAGGUGAAAGCCCUGGGCUCAACCUGGGAACUGCCUAUGAAACUGAUAGUCUUGAGGCCGUAAGAGGAUGGCGGAAUUCCCAGUGUAGAGGUGAAAUUCGUAGAUAUUGGGAAGAACACCAGUGGCGAAGGCGGCCAUCUGGUCCGGUUCUGACGCUGAGGCGCGAAAGCGUGGGGAGCAAACAGAAUUAGAUACCCCAGUAGUCC
rnacentral:rRNA from 1 species